CUCUGUUUACUCAGUUAACACAUCAUAAUUUGGCUUACUCCAGAAAGACUGAGAAAAUCAAAUUCAGUUGUGACCUCAAAGAGCUUUUAAUUAUUCCUUUAUAAAGAAUAUUUUUACCUCCUGUGCACGCAUGGCCAUUUCCUCAGAUGGAAACAGUCUUGAGUGUGUAUUGGAGUGGGAGGGUCUUUCUGUUGGGAGUGGAUUUUUGUCCUCAGUUAGAGACAAUUCCUGCUUCCUCCUUUUGUCCCAUGAUUAUUGGUUUACAGAAGACCUGGGUUUUGUAUGGAAGCCAAGUUCUGAAGAGGCCCGUGUCUGUUCACCCACUUACUGUGAUUCAUAGGUGUCUUGGCACCUGGCGGAACAGGUUUGAUGCUUGUUACAUCAGAGCCUGUUGCUAUGGAGAUGACAAAGAUGGCACAGAUUCACCAGCAUGGACCAUUUUCCA
ensembl:lincRNA